ACUACUGGGGGAAUAUGAUAAAUGGCUUCAUGUAGGAGUGUGGUGAAGACCACUAGUUGGGGACAGCACUGUGAAUACUGUGCUAUGGGGAAACAAGCUUUUCAAGGGUCACACCAAACCGGACAGGCAAUGUGCUCACUGCUGGGUGUUGCGCAGAGCUAGCGUAGACAUCUCAAAAAUGUGUUAUAGCAAUGAGCAGUCUACAGCACAGUAUCUACACUGAAAUAUCUGAACAUCAUUGUGGAGCUAGACAAAAAUAUGGGAGGCUUCACUUUCAUGAUUUUCAAUCAGAUAGUGUUGUAAAAAUCAGUGUUUCAACCUGUUACUUAGUGUAGUGCCACAAAAUGGCCAAAUUUCACUGAACAUGGUGUGUGCCCUUCUGGCCUAAUGGUAAUCGUGUGCAGCAAGUUUGAUUCAAUAGACAAAAGGGUUUCAGAUAUAUGGCCACUCUUCCUCUAUUGUGCCUUCACCUAUUGGGGCAAUAUUGUUCAACUGCACUAUCUUUGCAAAAUGGUCAAUAGAUGUAAUACCCAAAAUUGCAGCUAGAUUGGGCAAUAGCUCUAGGAGGAGAUGUCUAAAUGAGCUUUUGACAACAUACCCGAAAAACACAAUGGCUGACCCUGUGGUCAUAUGGCUUCCCAGUUACGAUCCUUUACAGCUUACUUGAACUAUUUACAAAAAUAUAAAAUAAAAUCAUAAAUGAUUUACAAUAAUAUAGUGCCCAUAAACCAAUAAACAAACAAAGCUCCGAUAAACAAUUAAAUAAAGUGUGCAGAAAGCAGAAAGUAACUCGGUAUACAACAGAAUAGCUAAGCCACAAUUUCUAAGCCUUAAACUACGUUUGAAAGCUGUGUAAAUGAGCUUAAAGAAUACAAUACUCAAAUAGAAUACAAUACUGACUAGAUUUUAGGGAGGGCCGAUUUCUCUGGUAAUGGCUUACUUUCAGAUAAUUCACUUGCCACUGGAAUGUCCAAUUGAGAAUUUUUUUCACUGUUUAUAAGGUAAGACGUUUUAAGUUCAGUAUUGCUUUUGAUUACAUUCUUAAUUUCAAGAAGUUACAAGCCAUCAAUAAACCUUGUUGAUCAUUCAUAGAAAUAUGUGCUGCAAUGCCUGUGCGCAAUUUUUGGUGUGGACUGAACUGAACAAAUUAAGUUCUAUUGCUUUGGAAUUUGCACUAGGUUGCAGAAUACAAAAGAUGCAUCUCACUUGCAAUAAACCAACAUAAAGUUUCAGACAUGUAGCACAAAAAUGUUUUAAUUCUGGAGCACUCUGUAGUGUCACUAUUUGGUCAAUUGCCUUCAUGUUAAAGUAUACAUUGUUUGGGACCAGACUGAAAAUUUCAUGCAUUUUCGUUCAUUGGAAGGUAGUUUUGGUUAGAAGACUGAGCACAAGAAAAACCAUAGUAUGCCUUGCACUUGCACCUUUGUUGUUUGGCCUAAUAAUAAUAAUAAUAAUAAUAAUAAUAAUAAUAAUAAUAACAAAAACAAUAACAAAAACAAGAACAAAAACAAAAAGCACCUUUGUUGCUUAGCCCCCUAAUGAGCAUUUGGCAUGAUCCAGUUUGCUGUCAAGUUAAUUUGUAAGAUUUUUUAAAAGAAAUAUUAACAAGCUUAAUUUACAUUAACUUAUGAUUCCGUUAUCAUGACAGGGAUAUAUUUGUGUUAUACCCUGGUUCCAGUUCCGAACCAACUCUGAAAUUUCUCCUGUAAUUUCUACUGUCUUCAUUUUGAUACUGAGUCUCUCAUGUGGUACCAAAUCAAAUGCUUUGGAAAUCUAAAUAUAUAGAUAUAUAAUAUCAUCAGCCUUGCAUCAACAGCUUCCUCCUUGUUAGUUGUAGUAUCAGGGAUCUUAUGAGCGGGGUGCUGUGGCAAGUGGAGUCCCACAAGGAUCGGUGCUGGGACUACUGCUCUUCCUCAUUUAUAUAAAUGAACUUGACAGGGACAUUGAAAAAGACACAUUUUUGCAUCAUACAGAACUGGGAGGCUCAGCUAACAGUUUGGAAUCUACUAAAGUAAACCAAGACGCUUUAAACACAAUGAGGAUGUUGGUGGAAACCCGGCAAGUGAAAUUCAAUGAAGUACAUGUAAAGUUCUACAUCUGGGAAAUAAAAAUAAGGCGGGACUACUGCAUGGGAGGAACAAAAUAGAAUGUGCUUAAUUUUAAAUUAAAUUGGGAGCAAUAGUUGAUCAAAGCCUUUCAGGUUCUAGGCACUGUGGUGUAGCAGUAAAAAAGGCCAACAGGAUGCUAGGAUAUGUAGCCAAAUGUAUUCUGUAUACAUCCAUGGAAAUUAUACUUAUCUUAUAUAAUACCUAUGUCAGACCACAAAUAAUUGUUUGCUGUUGUGGGGACUGUACUACAAGAAAGGUAUAGAGGCUCUGGAAAAGGUUCAAAGAAGGGCAACCAAAUUGAUUCCUGGUGUGAAAGAUAAAAGUUAUGAGGAAAGACUUAAGAUCCUAAAUCUCUUCAAACUUAGUAAAGGGAGGCUCAGGAGUGAUUUUAUUGAGGCUUUUAAAUUCAUAAAGGGGUUCAACAAAGUGAACCACAAGCGAUUCUUCAGGUUGAGUUCUGUUAGUAGAACGAGGGGACAUGAAUAGAAAUUAGCAAAAGGUAAAUUCCGUAGAGUCUAAAUUGCUCCUGUGUGUGAGUGAAAGAUGUGUGCCCUAUGCUGGAUUGCCGACCUGUCCAGGGAGUAUUCCUGCUUCUUACUCAAUGCAUGCUGGGAUGGGCUCCAGCCCCUCCGGCAACCCUGACCAGGAAUAAGUGGGUUAGAAAAUGGAUGGAUGGACAGUAAACGAUUUAACUGAUAUUUAACAAGUAAAACCACAAUGUAUAAUUUCCUUUGGCAACCUUAAAGGAGUACCAUGGUGAUUUUCACACUUUCUCAAUUUUAUGUGCUAUUUGCACAAGAGGCAUUGAAGAAACACAAUGAGUAAAGUAUUAGAUAUGUCCGUUCUGUAUUUUUGGAGAAAUAUGCGUUUUAAAUUGAUCGUCAUAUUUUCAACCGGUUGAGAAAGUUGUCAACUUGGUGCGUCACGAACACAGUAACCAUUCCCCUUUCCACGCCCCGUAAACCCAUGGAUAACUCGAGACCCAUAGUUUGCGCCACUGGCUUACAGGCAAGACAAUGCAAAUAUUUGACUAACAUUAGGUUCACUUAAAUUAGAGUGCCUUUUAAGGACUAUUAGAUUAUUUCUGGUUAUAUUCAUUUAGGUAGCUAGCUAACGUUAGCUAGCUAGGUAGUUUGCUUUCAUAAGGCAAUGUCAUCGAUAACGUUAGCUAGCUAGUUUGCUUUUAUGAGGACGUUAUAGUUGUGCUUUUAUCUUAACUUGGCUAGCUAGAUAGAAAAAAUUAUAAUUGGAUAUAAGUCAACAUCCUUAUCUUAGCUAUCUAUCGAUACUUGAUAUACUACUAAGCUAGCUAGCUUGUGAAAUGUCUCCCAAAAAGAACACGUAUCACGGGGGUAGCUAUGGUAACGGGGCACGGCCUGUCAAUCAUAGCUAACUGACAGUUGUCAUUACCACGCCCAGACGGUUCGGGUGAACUUUUAUAGUGGGAAAUUUAGGCUUAGAAAAAUACGUUUUAAAGUACAUUGAAAUGACUGAAUAAUAAAAAAAAUUACGCACAUUUGUUUUGUUGUUGCCUAAAGACAACUGGGAAGUGUCACGUUCAACCACCAUGUUACUCCUUUAAGUAUUACCAGCAGUAAGGACGCCAAAAUGUGGGAGACAUGCUAGUGUUCUGUGUGAUUGCAGGAGCCUGUUAAAUGGCUGCUUUCCCUGUUCCUGUUUAUCAAAUCCCCCGGUGCAGUUACAUUUACUGGAUGAGUGAACACGUUUCAGAAUGGCAGGAUCUGGUGUUUUUUUGAGCUUUUCCACUCGGAGGUAGCUGUAAACUACUGGUAAAGAUGAGGGCUUAUCUGAGGGGAAAUCAACCAUUGGAUGUUGCCAUUAUGGCCAAUCAGCAGCAAGGCCAUGUGAUCAUGUGAUGUGUUUCUGUCAAUCACAUGGAAGCUGGAUGGUUUUCUUGUAUGACAAGAUAACUGCUGUGAAAAUAUUGUGAUAAACAUAAUGAGAAUGCCGAAUGUCUUCGAAAAAUGUACCUAGAAACAGAACAAAACAUAAAAAUGACCAAAAUAUGUAAAUAAAGUUAGAUUAAUAAUUUAAUAACAAAAACUCAUUAAAUUGACCAUUGCUCAUUUUAUAUUUUUCAGAAAAACACACAAAAAAAACCACAGCUUAGUUGGUGAAGAAUAAAAAAUGGGGAACAAAGUACCAACGGAAGCAAACAUGGGCGACGGUCUAAGAUGUACUACCUGCCGUGAUGUACUACCUGCGUGUACUUCCUUCUCAAAUUUAACUAAACGCACGAUUGAUAACAGACUUGUAUAUGUGUUCAAUGGAGGUGAAUACUUCAGGCAGGUGGGUCAUGGGUCAUACUUCUGUAAUGACUGCUUUUAUAAGCCAAUCAGAGAUCGAGAGGAAAGGCAGAGACAGCAGGAACAGCAGCAAAGAAAAGAAAAACUGAGCCAAAGACUGCAGCAAUCACAACAACGUGCUGAACAGCAACAGGAGCAACAACAAUUGAGCAGAAAGUCAGUGGAAUUUGAGCGUAAGCAAUCUGUAUUAAAACAGCAGCUGGAUGAGUUUUCACCUGAGGAGCCAGAUGAAUUUAGCGAUGACCUCCUAGAAGUCCUCUCAUCCCAAUGUGACACCCCAGUUACAAGCCUCAGUCUCAGCCACCUGGCAGAUGGUCAGCUGGGACAGAUUAUGUUGGCCCUGGACAGCCUUCUGUUUGAGAAAUGGACAAAUGCUCAUCCACCACUCAGAACUUUACAGCACGCACAGGUAUUUAUCACACAGCUGUGUACCCUGUCUCUGGGGACAUCUGAGGGAGUUUCCCUGCAAAGUGUCUCCAAUCAUGUGCAGUCUCUGGUGCAGAACAUCAGCCAAUCAGCAGAUAAUGCCUUUGAGAAUUUCCUGCUCACACAAGCCCUGUAUUUGAGCCUUGUGAAUUUUUUCACUGACCAUGAUGACUCAGACACUGAUGCAGUACACAUUGCCAAACGAUGGGCUGAGGGUGACCUUUCUGCUGAGAUUUGCUUUGUUCUAAACUUCCUCUACACUCUCACGGAGUCACUAGACAAUGCAAUUGGAAUGGCCUCUGUUUUUGUUUUAAACAUGGAAAUCCAGUGCCUGAGGCUUCUGUUUUCCACACUCACGCAUCUCAAUGGCAAAGAAAUACACAAAGAAGUCACUGAAAUGCACCUCAGACUUGCACAAACAAAUGGAUGGAAACCCACAGAGGUAUUGACUCUCCUCAAAGUUUUUUCAGAGCAAAAUGCAGAGGAUGUUUCAAUAACUAAAAUCCUGACUUUACUAGAAGUGUAUGAUGUAUCUCCAGUGUGGAAAGAUAACCGUGAACGAUCUCUCAUUGAGUCUAUUGAUUUCGCUGGCCCUGAGAGUUUCUACACAACUUUCCAACAGGCCCUCGAAAACCAAGGUUCUGACGUCCCUGAAAGAAUAGCAGAAUUAAUGAAACACAGAAAUUUGGAUGAAUCUGUGAUAAAGAGGGUACUGAAUAUCACAAACAUCACUUGUAACACCCUGCAACAUUCACAAAAUGAAGAUGCAAAAAUUUUUAAACGUGACUAUAAAAUUGAGAACAUGCGUGAUGACGAUUUCCAAGAAACCCUGACUCAGCUCUGCAAAGCAGUUUUCCACACAAAAGGUUGGUGGCCAUCCCGGAGUCAAAUCAUACGCUGGUGUGCUGUAGUGUUAGCUGAGAAAAGUCAGCCACCAAAGCUGGUUGGGUUUGAAGAAGAUCCAUGUGUCACAGCCAUGAUAGCAGCCAUGCAAAUCUGCAUGGGAAACAAACUGGAUAUUGUGCUGAGCUCUGGGGCUCUUUCAGAGCAGGAAACCAAGGAGUGGUCCGACUUCUACAAGCAUCUGGGAAUUUCACUCAACACAAACAGGAGGAAAACGAACAAGUCAUAUGAUGUGUGUGAUGUUUAUGAAGCAGACAUUGUGUAUGGUGCCAUUGAAGACUUCAUCACUGAUUACUUUCAAUAUGGCUUAGCGAUGAUGGAAGCAGGAAGCUCUCAGUUUAUUCGUGGAUUUAUCAUUGAAAAUGGAUGUCUUGGUGCUGGCCAUAAUCUGAACUUUUCAAGGCUCAAGGACAAUGAGGCCCUUGGGUUUGCAGCAGAAGAAUUCCAAAGCCUCAUGGGUAAAUGUUCCAGUGAGAAAAUGGAAGUGAGGCACAGUUUUGUUAGGGAAAUGUUCCAGGUGCUCCAUGCUGACCUGAAAGAUAAUGUAGACAUGAAGGUUAUGACCCUCUCACAAAAACUUACUGGAGCGAAAUUACCUUCUCGAGAUGCCUUUGUUCUUAUGUUUCUUGAGACACUAAUGAAAGGAGUUGCCACUGAUGCAGAAAUAAAAAAAAACAGCAAUUCUCCUAUAGUUAAAUGGUGUUUUGAGAUUUUAAUUGCCUGUGCAAUGCAAUUCCAAGCCUCAACAAGUGCAAAAGGAUUUCUGCAGAUGGUGUCAAAUCUUGUGGCUCAGAAACUUUGGUCACCUGAAGAGACCUUAGAACUCCUUGGAUCAUUAACUGCCCAGCAUCAAGAUGAAAGCUUUAUUUCCAUCAUUAAGAUUUUAUGGUUGAUGACAACAUAUCAGAUAUCUUCAGAGUGGAAAGAUGAGAACCAACAAUCUCUCCUUCAGCUCAUAGGUUCAUCAGAAACACAGGAUCUAAUUCAGCACUUACAAAAUAACUGCAAAGCAGAGAAAGAAAAAAGUAUUGAUACUCUCUUUGAUGAAAUAAGAACGAUGAAAGAUCUUGAUGAAGAAACACUGAAGAAAUCACUCACUAUAGUAAAACAUGUACAAGAACUGAUUAAAACUGGUGACAUUAAAAGCCAUGCAGAUGCACAGCGAGCUCGGAGUCUGAGCCACAGCAUGAAGACAGAAGAUGUUCAGGAGGUACUGGCUGUCUUAUGCAAUGCUGUACAUGUUACUAUAUUAGGGAACAGGUGGUGGCCCAGAAGCACUCAAAUGACAAGCUGGUGCUUCUUAGCCUUGGCUAACAAUGGAAAGCUCCUGCAGAUGGGCACUGGGGAAGGGAAGUCUGUUGUUGUAGCUAUGUUUGCAGCACUGCGUGCCCUCAGGGGUGAAAAGGUAGACGUGCUGUCCAGCUCUUCUGUGUUAUGCCAAAGGGAUGCAGAAGAAUGCGCUGACUUUUUCAGCUACUUUGAUCUCACAGUGGACACAAACACUAAUAAAACCAAAGAUAAAGAUCGAAAGCAAUGCUACCAGAAGGAUAUAGUCUAUGGAACUGUCGAGACCUUCGCUGCAGAUCACCUUCGCCAGACAUUUGAGAUGAAGGAUGUGAGACCCGAUCGCGGCUAUAAGUGCAUCAUCAUUGAUGAAGUGGACUUGCUGCUUCUGGACCAGGGAAUACAGGUGACCUACCUGUCCAGUUCCAUGGUCUCCAUGCAGCACCUCAACAUUAUUCUGACCAUGAUCUGGGGCCAUGUAUGCCAGUAUGGUCUCUUGACAACAGGAUACGAAACGUUUGUACGUGGUCCUCCUGCUUCAUUCUUCAAGGCUAUAUUUGACUCAAUGGACACAGAGGGAACUGAAAUCAAUGACCCAAUGGACAUUUUGCAGAUUGCUGAAGAGUGCAGCGUUGUCCCAAAAGGAUUUACAGAGGAAAUUUACAAAAGUGAAAAAGAUGGAAUUCUUGCAAAACUGAAAAAUGUGCGUCAGGAUGCUCAAAUAAAUUUAUUUCAAGAAAUUGAGGACUAUGUCCCCUAUGGGUUUGCUGUUUACAUGUUAGAUGACAAUGGAUGUCUUAGUCUUAAAAAGCAGAGCCUGAACAAGCAGGUUGUUAAAACCCUUAAAUUUCUUGUUUUAGAUGAUGGCUUGUGUUGUCCUCUCUAUGAUUCAGAAGAAAUUCUCAUUGACCCCAUUGCAGAAUUAAUAUCUGAUCAGCUGCACUACACUCCAAGUGAGAACAAGGCAAAGAAAAUCAACAUCCCUGGAUUUCUGAAAGGUCUGGUGGAGAAAAAAUUGGCAACAUGGGUUCAGAAUGCCUUCCUGGCUAUGAGGCUGAAGGAAGGGCAGGAAUAUGUUGUGGAAGAUGACCAUAUCUAUCCAGUGGAUUUCAAAUCCACAGGUAUUGUUGAACUGAAUAAGAAAUGGGGUGAAGGUCUACAACAAUUUGUGGAGAUUAAACACCAAAUCAAAUUAAGCACAAUGUCAGCUGUGACAAACUAUGUUUCCAAUGUUUCCUUUUUUGAAAAGUAUAAUGGGAAAAUAUAUGGAUUGACAGGCACACUUGGGAGCAAAACAGACAUGAUGUUUUUGAAUGAGCAAUAUCCAAGUCUCUCUGCCUGUGAAAUGCCAACAUUCAACAGGAAAAAGUUAUUUGAGGUUAAAGGUUUUCUCAAGCCCUCUACUGAAGAGUGGAAAUCAGAAGUGAAACGUUUGCUUUUGGAUCAAAUUUCCCUAAAUUCAUACAGAAAAGGAAGAGCAGCCCUGGUUAUCUGUGAAACCAUCAAUAAAGUCAAUGAUCUCUAUGAAGAGCUAAAAGACAGCAUCCCAGGUGAAGUCAUUGUCUAUGCACGCAGUGACACAAACAGCUUGGGUGCACUAGACAGAAAACUGAAUCCUGGUGAUGUGGUUCUUGCCACAAAUCUUGCAGGGCGUGGGACAAAUAUUAAAGUCACUGAUGAGGUAAAUGAAAAUGGAGGAUUAUUUGUGAUCCUCUCCUUCCUUCCUGAGAAUGAAAGAGUGGAACACCAGGCCUUUGGGCGAACCGCACGCAAAGGUAAACCUGGAUCUGCUCAGCUAGUUAUAUCCACUCAACAUCUGCAGGAGUGUUACAGGACAGUGUCUUCUCUGGAGGAAGCUAAGAAAAUGAGGGAUAGUCUUGCAAUAGAGCAGAUACAGGACAUGCAAAAGGACAUUGAUGAGAUGAAACUGCGAGAGGAUCUGUUUUCAGAGUACUGUGAAACCCUUCAAGAGAUUUACAAGAGCACAGAAGAAGAUGAACAGAAGGCUAUUGUCCCCAUCAUGAAUGAGUUCUGGGGGAUUUGGCUGCAAACAAAGUCUGAAGAAAUUGAUCAAUUGAAGAGAAGAGGACUGCAGAAGAGCUUGAGAGCUGAUUUGGCAUUUGCAAAAAAGCAGACUGAAAGCCAGAAUUCCCCCUCCUCAAGUAUUUAUCACUAUGUGAAGUUUGGGAAUAUUGCACUGAAGGACAAGAAAUGGGAUAUCAGUGCCAGGCUUUUUCAAAAAGCCUCAAAACUAGAUCCAAGUUGGGCAGGCAUAGCAUUUUACAAUCAUGCAUACUGCAUUAUUAUGCAACAAUCAGGUGAUUAUCUCACUCAAGCCAUAGAUGAUCUGAAGAAGGCGCAAGAUUCUCUGAAGUACUUUAGUGAGGAAUGCUUGGCUGGCCUGAGCUUUAUAAAAAUGUCCUCUCCCAAAUCUGCAAAUGGUAAGACCAGCAGCCUUGAAAACCAGUUCUCCAGCAAGUGUGACAUGCUCAGUUAUCUUGAUAAAAAUAUGAGUGAGGCCAUCAAUAAACUAAAAGAAAUUAAAGGAAAGGAGAGAGAUGCUCUUGCAAAAAAAGCUCCAGUUUUUACUCUGGUGUCAGAUGAUGAAGAAGCGCUCCAAAUGGAAACCUUCAACCUCUAUGAUCGAGGUCUGAAAUACAUUUUUUCUGUGGAAGAGGAGCCUCGUUUCCCAUGGGAAGCUCUGGUGGUGUUCUUUCUCGGAGUUGCACAGAUUGUCGGAGGGGCACUGCUCACUGCAUUUACAUUUGGGACACUAGCUCAAGUCGGUAUGGGGCUCAUCACUGAAGGAAUCUCAGACUGCAUCACUGGCAUAGAGUCUAUGAUAACAGGAGAAUUCAGCUGGCAAUCAUGGGCAAUAGAUAAAGCCAUUUCCAUUGCCAUCUCUCUUAUUGGGUUUGGAAUCGGAAAGCUGGUUUCAAAGGGCUUCAAAGCUUCUAAAACAUUAAUGAAGGGAUUUGGCAAACAGCUAAAGGCAAUGCCAAAGUUCUUUACCAGUCAGGCUAAAGAGGGGUUUAGUGUUACUAUGAAGACCAACAUGAAGAAUGCAGUGAAAGUCACUGCUAAAAAAAUCAUAGAAGAAUCUGUUGGCUAUGGAAUUGGGAUGGCAGAGGAUGAAAUAAUUAGUAAAAUACUAGAAGAAAUAGAAAAGGAAGUGAAAAAGGGAAUCAGUGAUGAAGUGAAGUCCAACAUGGGAAAGGAUCCCCUGCAUGCAAUAACAGAUUCAAUUAUACUCUCUCACAUUGAAAAUAAACAGGAAUUUAAUGACCUUUUGACAGAUGAGAUAAUAAAGACUAAAUUACUGGCCAUUUUCACAGAGCUAAGCAGCAAUUCAUUAGAGCCAUAUUCUGCAGACCUUGGCUGGCAGAAUCAGCUUAGCUCAUCCAUCUCAAAUGUGAUUGACACUGUUAAGGAAGAUGCUAGAGGAAAAACAAAAGCUAUUCUAACGGCUAUCCAAGUGGCCCAUAUGGGAACACUGGCAGCAGAUGCUGUACAUGCAGUGGUCACCCUCUCAGACACAUUUUUCACAGGUCUGUGUGAAGGGCUGGAAGGGUUUCAAAAGAAAAGAGCCAUUCCUCAAAAAGUAAAGGCAAGUGACCUAUCAGAUUCAGAGAAAAAGAUGCUGAAUGACUUCAGGCAGGAAAUAAUUGACAGCAUGGCCACUUUACUGACAAAAGCUUUAGUUGAGUUGUUUCACCAGAAGUUCUCCAGUCACAUUGUGAGUAAAGUCAAAAGCAAGGUAAAUGAUAAAAUUGGUGAAUAUGUGAGCACAGGUUUAAAGACUAAGAAAACAGAGGAAAAACUCAAAGCUGGGCAGGACAAUCUAUAUACUGCACACAUGUCCAAAGAUGUGCAUGCAGCUGGUCAACAGUCAAAGUCACAUGCUGAAAAGGUCAAGAAUUCUGAGAAUACUGGUAGUGAGAUUGAUAUCAAAGUCCUGUCAGAAGCCACUGGCACUAAGGUUGUGAUCUUAACAGAGGGAAAAGAUGGAAAGCUGACCAAAAUUCAGGAGAUGAACCCGAGCACUGAUGAUGCCAGUCAAACUGUGACACUGGUCUAUAGGCCCAAGAGUGACCAACACCCAGAUGGACAUUAUGAUGUGCAGAUCAAUAACAAGACCGUGAGUGUAGAGAACGGCGACCUGUAUCGCGCUAUGGCACGAGGCAUGAAACCAGACUCCAGUGACGACGACAUUGCUUCUGCAGCAACUGACCUGCGAUCUACAGAGGCUGGGGCCCUCACAGAAAGACCAAUCCACUUUGAGUCUUUCAUCCAACGGAAAGCGUGGAUUAAAGCACUCGUAGUUGGUUCCUAUCUCAUAUCAGAGGAUAUUGAAUCAGGUGAAGCAGAUCAACUAAAAAGGAAAAGGAAAGAACUUUUGAACAACCUGAAGGAGGAAAGUGCAAAAACAACAGCUCAGAACUUGUUGCAGACUCAUGGAAAAAACAAAAAUAAAAUUGGGACAAUUGGAAAAAUCAUGAAUGGAGAUAAUCGCCCUCCAAAGAACAGCAUAUUAACAGCUGCACAUUUUAACACAGGGAGCAAAUUAAGUAAAGUGAUGUUUCAGGUUGCAUCAGACUUGUCUGAUUAUAAUGAAUGUAAGCUUCCAGUUGUUUAUGCACCAUAUGAGCGAUAUCAUAAGUUCCCAACUGUAGAAUCUCCAGAGCUCAAUAAGUUAUUGGCUGAAACCAUGAGCAAGGAUGAUGUUGAGGGCACCUUCAAACUGACGAUCCUAGGUGCCAUGCCAACAUUUAUGCUGGAAAGAACAUAUUUUAACAAUGAAGACAUGAGCUUGACCAGAUUGGACACUUUUGGGGACAGUUUCCCAGAGCAUGCUACAGAAAUGGUAAACACAUGGCUCAAACUCCUAGAAAGCAGAACAGAUCUCAUGAACCAGGACACUGCAGAUAGACUCAAACACUGGAUCAACACUGAAGGAUACCUUGAUCCAAAUGAUCCCUACCGGAAACAAGUCACCAUGUAAAAAGACCAGAUGAACUGCAGAUGAGUGGCUCUUCAGGAAGAGGUUCUUCCUCCCUUCCCUCCUUUUGUUGACCUGCCUACAUCUAAUCAGCUGUGGCAUGCAGUGUUUCAAAAUGGCUGAUAUACAACUGGCCUUGCUUUUUAAUUGAUCAGCUGUAACGGUGAUUGGGCUAUAAUGAGCUAUGCUUUAACAACUAAAUUUUAGUUACCUGAAAACUCCUCUAUGAAAACGUGACGCGCUCAUCAUAUAGGUGUUUUAUGGAAUGAAAGCUGUUCGUUCUGAGGGUAGAAACAGUCUGAUUGGGAUUAAUGUAGAGAAUAGGAGACAUAGUUUAUGAAUUGUGUAUUUUUGUGUUUAAAUUAGUUUAAAUGUUAGCUAUUUAGCAAGCUAAUGUGUCUGGAAAUUCAUGAGGUAUUAACACCCUAGUUUCACACAGUGUAAACAUUAACACUAGCCAACCAGACUCAUAUUUCAGGUAAGGCUGUUAGGAAUUUCACCACUGUUGGCUAGGUAGGUCAUUUAGUAGCAACUUAGGUAACAUUAGCUAGCUUAAUUAGCACAAUUGGGUAAUUAAAGUUGAACUAGCUUAUUUGUCAUUUUGCUGAAUUUUGUUUGCUUGAUGCUUAGUAGCAUAAUGCUCAGAAAUAUGAUCUGUUAAAAGAAUUGGGUUAUUUCGGCUUUAUCAUUCGUAAUUCAGCUCAAUUUUAUCUAGCUUAAUAGUGCUAGGGUGCACUCUGUUUGUGCUAAAUCAGCUAAAUUAUAUGUAAUUAUAUGUACAAAACGUAAGGUAGAUAAGAUUUAAUUCAAUUUCAUUACCCCUCUGACUUUCUAACACCCCUUCACCUCCCACUUUGCAAAAAGACUGGAUGUCCAAUAAUUAAUUAAAUUUUGAUUUAAGCAAAAUGAGGCUAGAAUCAGACUAGAAUAGAAUCAAAACUGACUCCGCCCCCAUGUGUGAGCUCUCAAUUGGCAGAGCCCACUUCUGAAUUUCUCUGAUCUAUGUGGGAGUGUGCACACUGUUUACAAUGAUCAGUACAGAAUGUAGCACAAACCCUAAACUAAUCUGAAGGUGAAGUAGAUUAAAUCACUGCAACAUCCAUUUUAAAUUGCAUUUACUUCUUAUGGGUGCUUUACCAGCACAGCUCAAUACACAACUCAGAGUCUACAGCAAAUAAAAUACAGGAAAUUAGCUUUCCAAUUAUCAUGAAUCUCAGGAUAAUGAGCAGCGCACAGUCAGGCUUUUUCAAUAGUCCUUUUAAAAAAAAAUAUAUAUAUACAUAAUUAUAAGUUGGUUAGAUACACUUUCUUUUUUCUUUCUGAUAAAUUUACUUUGGGAAUAUUUUUAUUUGUGGUGGAUAACACGAAGAAGUAAAAUGUGUUUAAUGUAGUUGCUUGUAACUUGCAAGAUGACGUCUCCCUGAGAAGAAUCAUAUAAAGGCAUGCAUAGAGUCUUAUAGAAUAAAAUUCUGUGGAAAAGGAUGUAUUUUCUUCUUUCAAUUCUUGUUCCUGUUUUAUUAGAACAUUAAACUUCAUCAAAAGA